UUUUUUUUUUUUUUUUUAAAAUAUAAAUAUAUUUGCUAAUAUUUAAUUGCUAGGAAUGAGCUCACGAACGCGCUGUACGAUGAUGAUAUGUGAACGUGAACUGAUGUAUUUGACUAAUGAAUCGUGCAACGAACGUAAACUGCUGAUCGGGCGAUAGGUAUGUGCGGCUGAACCGUACAUGCUCCCGGGCGAGAAGAUGAGUGAGGUAUGGAUGAUGUGAGCUAAACUAAAA
rnacentral:misc_RNA from 1 species